CUAAAAAAAAGCAGGGGCUGGGCAUAGGCAGUAAUAUAAGGCAAGAUGGCUAAGGAAGAAGGUGGGCAGCGGAGCCGGUGAAGGAAGCCCCAGGCGCGGAUGGAGGCGAAGAGAUCAGGAGCAGUAAAGGAACACUCUCUUCCCCAGUCAGCUGGGAUACGGACUUUGUAAGGCCUAGGGACUUUGUCUUUGGAGGUCCUGUCUCCCUAAGACCAUCACCAGCAAAGAAUUUUCUGAGCAAGUGUGUACUGGAGACCUUCUGAGGAAUCCACUAGAGCCUGCACAUCCCCUUUUCCUAGCAAGGUCAACUGGAAAACAGAAAUUCAGCAAGGUUAAGUGACUUGCCCAAAAUCAGAGCUGAAACUCUAGUUCUCUUCCUCCAAAUCCAGUGUUCUUUCCAAGAUAACGUGCAACUUUCCUUUGGAAUGAUCAGCAGAAUGUCAAAUAAGGAAAGGACAUGUAGAGUUCAUGGGAGGAGACAUUACUUCUGGCUGCAGAAUUAUGGAGGCUUUAUGGGAGACACCGUAUAUUUUAUCUGUGCGCCUUGAUCACGUGUCUGACCAUGGACAGAGAAACCAGCCUAAUGAGCCUUCUUUACAGGUGACCCUCUGGCCCUUGGUGAACAUCUUGUUUUUAUUCUUUCUUAAUUCCAACACUUAUUCUUGACAACUUUACAAAUGAACAAAUCUUAUUUACUAAAUUGUUGAUGUAGUUUUUGUCUAACACAGGGCUGAUUUUACCCUUGAGAGAGGGACACAAGGCUUCAUUUAGGGGAGGAUUAGGUUUGAUGUUUAUUCACUGCACGAGGCAGAUUGGUUUUAGAGACAUGGGUUACAGUCUUGGCUUUUCCUGUUACUGCUUUUGGGUCUUUAGAUGAACAUUUUGCUUUCUCUAGACUCCUUCUUUAUAUAUAAAACAACUACACCUUUGGACCUAUAAUAACUGUUGGUGGUCUCCUAUGGGACAAGGAUAUGAGGGUGCUUUGUGAAUGGCUACCCAAAUGUAAAAUAUUAUUAUUAUUAUUAUCAUUCAGUAUUAUAAAAUAUUGAUAAAAAUAUUGUCUAGAUUUUUCAGACAUCUUAGAAGGCUUCUUUUUCUUCAGGGAAAAAGAGAACCCUAAAUAUCAAUUAUAAUCAGAAUUUCACAGCAAGUAAAAAUACCUGUGUGUUAAUGAAAUUAAUCCUUAAUGAAGCAGAUGACAAUGACUAUUUGAUAUCAGACCUUAAUUUUUUAAACCAGGCAUCAAAACACUUAGAAGUGGGUAGGCAGGGUGAGUACAGAAGAGGAGUGGUGGAAUUCCCUUUACUGUAGUUGGAAAGAGAGAAUCAAGAUUCAUAUGACUCUCAGGCAAAAAGAGUGGGAAGAGACAGACUGAAAUCUCCAUGUUCACAGGUAAGAACAGACAUUUCUUGGCCCGAAUGAUAAAGCAAUGUUCAACUCUUCUAGUCAAAUCGCCCAUACUGUGGAAUUCCAAGGAAACAGUCUUCACUCCUGUUAAGUGAUAUUCCUGGCCAUUGUCAAUGUGCAAGUCCCACAACAAGGCAGAGACAUUCAUGCUCUUCAUUAACAUUCCCCUAAGGUCUCAGUUUGCGUCUCUCUAUCCAUCUCCUAGCUCUGAAAGGAAGUUUCCUGGGAAACCUUUUGUAUGAAUGGAAUGGAUGAGGUUUGUCCCAUGAGGGAAGAAUUAAAAAAAAAAAAAAAACACACACAGACACACACAACAACAACACAGUAUAACAAAAAAACUUCUUUCCCACUGCAGCCAGGAGCAGAUUACGCCUAUCUUUUUUCAAGGACAGGUAGAAAUUCUGACCAUGUGGUAUUCAGUCAUACUAGGAAUGUUGCUCUCUCAAUUUAACAGGAGAGCUUCCUUUCUUACUGAUUAAAAAAGUCAAAAGGGAUUUAAAAUUGCUUAGGUAAAAAGAACUAUGGUGGAGUCUUCUCAGCCACAGAUAAGCAUUGGCUCUUUCUGAUCUGCUCUAUUGUCAGCUAUGUAAUGACUCAGUUUCUGCAUUGUUCUCCUUGUUCAGAACAGAAGGGAGAGUAAACCUUAUCCACAGGCUCCUGUUACAAGUAGACCUUCCCCUUCCAUCAGAGGUGGGCUUUGUGCGACACAGUCAGGACAUUCACAAAUUAAAAGAUGAAGAACGGCCAACAUUUUCACCAGCUAUUGAUAUUCCCUAUCCCAGUAAACCUUGGGUUUUCGUCUGAGUAUUUUUUUCCAACUUAAAGAGAGAGAGAGAAAGAGAGAAUAUGUAGGCUAACCAGCUCUAUUGCUAACAAAAGAAAUACUUAAGAGAGGAAAACAACCAGGGAUGAAAAUCAGGCUUUUAUUUGAAUCUUCUUGCUUCUUUUCAGCAGCAGCUUCCUGGCUAACUUAAGCAUCCUAUUCCUGAGCUGGUUGAAAUAUGCCUUUUUUAAAAAAACAGCUUUAUUGAGAUAUAAUUUACAUACCAUAAAAUUCAUCUGUUUAAAGUAUGGGACUCAAUGGACCCAGUGGUUUUUAGUAUAUUUAUAGAUUUGUUCAACCAUUACCAUAAUCAAUUUUAGAACAUUUUCAUCACUCCAAAAGGAAGCCCAGUACCCAUUUGCUGACACUCCCCAUUCUCCCUACUCCACCACCAGCCCUAAGCAGCCACGAAUCUACCUUCUGUCUCUAGAGAUUUGUCUGUUGGAUCUUUCAUACAGAAGCAUGCAAUAAUGUGAUUUUUUUGUUUGUUUGUUUUGUUUUUCUCAUGUUUUUUAUUUCUUUAUUAAUUAUACUUUAAGUUUUAGGGUACAUGUGCACACGUGCAGGUUAGUUAUGUAUGUAUACAUGUGCCAUGUUGGUGUGCUGCACCCAUUAACUCGUCAUUUAACAUUAGGUAUAUCUCCUAAUGCUAUCCCUCCCCCCUCCCCCCACCACACAAAAGGCCCCGGUGUGUGAUGUUCCCCUUCCUGUGUCCAUGUGUUCUCAUUGUUCAAUUCCCACCUAUGAGUGAGAACAUGCGGUGUUUGGUUUUUUGUCCUUUAGAUAGUUUGCUAAGAAUGACGGUUUCCAGCUUAAAUGUGAUCUUUUAUGACUGGUUUCUUUCACACAGAAUAAUGUUUUCAAGGUUCAUCCAGGUUGUAGCAGCACUUCAUUUCUUUGUAUUGCCAAAUACUAUUCCAUUGUGUGAAUAUAACACAUUUUAUGUACCCUUUCAUCUUUUGAUUGACAUUUGGGUUGUUCCCACUUUUUGACUCUUAUGAAUAAUGACGUUGUGAAUAUUCAUGUAUAAACUUUUGUGUGGACAUAUAUUUUCAUUUCUCUUUGGUAUUGACCUAAUAGUGGGAUUGCGGGGUUGUAUGUUUAACACUAUGUUAAAUGUUUUUAGGAAGCCCCAAGCUGUUUUCCAAAGUGGUUGUACCAUUUUACAUUCUCACCAGCAAUGUACCAGGGUAAGACCUAUUUGCAAUUUUCUCCUGCUUAUAGAAUUCUAAAGCUAUGUAAAAGGUUAGAAAUGUAACAGGUGGGUCAUUUUGAUACUUAUUUAGAAAGCCUACUUUUUCUUUCCAAACUACAAACAUUUCUGUUGUCUAAUGAGCAGAUGCUACCAGCUAAUGAAGCAGGAAUACUAAUUUCUUAUUUGAUUCAUAAUAAUAUUCAAUAAUUACAGAGGAAUCUUUACUUAUCUAGCUUUCUGUGUAUAUGUGUUUUACAGUACUAAUUUUUCUUUGUUUUCUUUUAAAAAUUCACCUUCCUUACUGCUUUGUUAUUUAAUGAUUUGUUCUCUGAUUAUAGACCAUUAAUGCCUGUUUUAAAAAAAAGUCCACAUGUGCAUUUCAACACAUCUUUUAUUUUAUACUGAUUCAAAGCAAUUCAAUUCUUCAUUCCUAAAAACAUUUAGGCUGAGGCAUAAAAUAGCCAAUUUAAACGAAGUAACAUUUAGUCUUUGAAAUUGCCGUAUAUGUAUUCUUCAUUUAUGCCUACCUGAAAAUGUCAAGUAUGAAAUGAAUUUUAGUGACUCAAUUGUUAUUCUAUAGGCAAAUCCUUAUCUUAUAAACAUACUAGAUAACUUUAUAAGAUAAAUCUGUUUCUAAGACCAAAUUUGUCCAUAAUUCUGAAUUUCUUUCUUUAUUUACUUAAUGCAAAGGAUGUUUCAUGAACCUUCUAAUUCUUUCCUACUGUGGAUGUUAGUUGGCAUUUUGUAUUGAAUUUCAACAUUUGAGAAUAAGUCAUGGGUCCAGCUAAUCUGCAUAGACCAAUUUGGAGCAGCAUCCUUAAUGAGUGGUGAACUUUCUCUGUUCUCCAGACAAUAUCACCUCUGCCACUUGAAACCAAGGCUUCUAAUGACAUGAACUGAAGGAAAAGUCUUGAUUUCAGAUUUUUGUUUGGCCAAUUUCAUCUCCAUUUGCCGACCCUGGAUUAUGCAGAUAGUAUACUGCUUUUAGUAAUCUAGGCCCUUGUGCCAGACCUUGACUGUCAUACUGCAUUAUAACUGAUGGUUCAAAUGCUUCUUUUACAUAAGGAGUAUUUUCUUCCCAGAGAUACCUCUAAGAUAUUCAUGGCUAACUAAAAAUACUGCUGAAUCCUGUUCUCAAGUAGAGUUUCAAGGUCAACAUGAAAAUUGUUAUCACUCUCUUAUGUGGCAUAAAAAAAUGUUUUAUCUUUGUAACAAUGCU